GCCGGUGGUUAUUGCAGGAAGCCCCCACCCGAUCCCAUUCCGAACUCGGUAGUGAAAUUUCCUAGCGCCGAUGGUACUUUAUCUUAAGAUAUGGAAGAGUAGGUCGCUGCCGGUU
rnacentral:rRNA from 1 species